UUCCCAGACUCCUACGGGAGGCAGCAGUGGGGAAUAUUGCACAAUGGGGGAAACCCUGAUGCAGCAACGCCGCGUGAGUGAAGAAGCGUUUCGGCGCGUAAAGCUCUGUCAGCGGGGAAGAAAGAAGACGGUACCCGACCAAGAAGCCCCGGCUAACUACGUGCCAGCAGCCGCGGUAAUACGUAGGGGGCGAGCGUUAUCCGGAAUUACUGGGUGUAAAGGGAGCGUAGACGGCGAAGUAAGCCUGAAGUGGAAGCCCGCGGCCCAACCGCGGAACUGCUUUGGGAACUGUUUAGCUGGAGUAUGGGAGGGGUAAGCGGAAUUCCUGGUGUAGCGGUGAAAUGCGUAGAUAUCAGGAGGAACACCGGUGGCGAAGGCGGCCUGCUGGACUGCAACUGACGUUGAGGCCCGAAAGCGUGGGGAGCAAACAGGAUUAGAUACCCUAGUAA
rnacentral:rRNA from 1 species